rnacentral:rRNA from 1 species
ACUUUCAGCAGUGAGGAAGGUGGGUAUGUUAAUAGCAUACUCAUUUGACGUUAGCUGCAGAAGAAGCACCGGCUAACUCCGUGCCAGCAGCCGCGGUAAUACGGAGGGUGCGAGCGUUAAUCGGAAUUACUGGGCGUAAAGCGCAUGCAGGUGGUUUGUUUAAGUCAGAUGUGAAAGCCCGGGGCUCAACCUCGGAAUUGCAUUUGAAACUGGCAAACUAGAGUACUGUAGAGGGGGUAGAAUUUCAGGUGUAGCGGUGAAAUGCGUAGAGAUCUGAAGGAAUACCGGUGGCGAAGGCGGCCCCCUGGACAGAUACUGACACUCAGAUGCGAAAGCGUGGGGAGCAAACAGGAUUAGAUACCCUGGUAG